AUCAGACUCGAAGGUGGGAGGCCCUGAAAGGGGAUAUAAAGCAGGACAGGGGCCGACAUGGGACAGGUUGGGCUGUCUCAGACUUGCUCUGACUCCAGUGACUCUAACUGUCCUUGUCUUCCAAAGAAGAAAGAAGCAUCCAGCAGCUGGCCUCCAAAGGAAGAAGAGAACCCAAAGAGCUUUGCAGAGGACAGGCUGGCCGCGCCUGCCUUGGGCCUGCCUCUGACACUGCCUGAAAGGAGUAGCAAGGCCUCAGCCUGGUGUCCCAAAGAGCUAUUGUUGUUGAUGUGGCCAGCACCUCACAAAGAGCUGUAACUUUGGUGUUUCUGACACGGCUGCCUCCUAGUGACCAGGUGACCAGCACUGCUGGCCAGUGUUGUCCAGCACUGUUGAUGGGUGACUGGCACUCUAUGUCCGGGUCACCUCUGAGAGCUGUUGAUUGUCUGGGACUGCCUCCUGCUGCCUGGUCCACCAUCUGCUGCUAUCCCGACCUUCAGACUAUGGCUAAGGGCUGUUGUGGCGUCAUCUCAGGCCCCGCCUGUGAGCACCUCCAGCUGCGGUUCUCACAGGUAAUGCAGAACAGAGAACCCAGAUGAAAGCAGCAAAACACAGGUAAUUUGAUAUGGGGAUGCUUCGAGAGCUUUCAUUUUGAUCCUCAAGGCCAAAGAGAUCUGAGAUGAGGAAAAGCACAUCAAGAAGGAAACCCAAGGUCCUCUUGAAGUUAGAUGUGACUUGCUUUGGCCAGUGCAACAAUCCAAGGAGAGGGAACAGCCAAAGUAAGGUACCUGCAAGACUCUGGGUUUGAGUGAGACAGGUAUGUUCUGAGGACAGCCAGGAGACCAGUGUGGCCAAAGCAGAGAUGUGAGUCCCAGAGGUAAGUCACAGGGACCAGAUCAUAUAGGUGGCCUUGUAGGUCACUGUAAGAACUUUGCUUUUUUCUGAGGGAAACA